GCCGAUAGUAGACCCACAACAAAUAUGAGGUCCAAAACACUGACCCAAUCGAUUAGGUCCACAAGAAGGGCACUUACAAUUAAUUAUUGAAAAAAAUAAUACAAUUAACCCACUAUAAAUUGAUACUUUAUAAAAUAAAACCUUCUAAGGGUACAAUAUCUCCCCUCUUUCCACCACGGGGGCAAUUCGUAAUUAAACACGCCGAAGAUAAAAUAAUGAAAGUAGUAAAUAUAAAAAGUUUCUUCAUCAUGUUUUCAACUAAAUUUCUGGCCAGACUACCUGAACAAUCUGCUGGAUGUACGAAGACGAACUGCGAUAAAUCGUCCACACAGCAAUGUAUUUAUAUUGUUAAAUCUGUAAUAUUUAGUAUUCCGUUGUGCUUUCUACAGAUAUUUUUACAAUAAAGCACUCUACGGAUUAUGGAGAUGAAAUCUGCGUACGCAUAUUCUUAUAAAGAAUAGUAUUCCUUUUACUGAUCUCGAGAAAAUGUACUUAGACAUUCAGCAUUGUUCGGAAAUAAAACUUCAAUCUACAAACAUAUAUUCGCAAUAAAUCUUUAUAAA